CGUCGAAUAACUGCAGAUUCUUCACCCGAUUCUGAAGUCAUAGUGGCUAUUCUUAUGGGGUUUGGUUUACACUGCAGGCUUUGGGGAUUCUUAGUUUGUGUGUAGCUGAUGAUUGGUGUUCUAGUUUCUGUACUUUUUCAAUUGUGGUCCCAGGGCUGUUUCUGUUGUUAAUUCUUCCUCGGAAAGACUAGGAGGAGCAAAAGUUGUCGCUACUGCUGUGGCUCCAAAUGAUGUGGCAAAAAUUCAGGAGUUUCUAAAAAGAUGGAGUGAUGUUGAACAUGUGGAUCUUAUACUUACCCUUGGUGGGACCGGCUUUACCUCACGAGAUGUAACACCAGAAGCUACAAAAUAGUUGAUUGAGAAGGAAACACCUGAUCUUUUGUAUGUAAUGACACAAGAAAGUUUAAAGGUAUGAAACUCUUGCAUUUUUUGGUUUUUCAGUUUGAUUAAAUGAUUAAAUUUUAUGCAUGCUUAAAUAUGUAGACAUCAUGUGCAUUCUUGGUCUACUUCACUGGUGGGUUGAAGCCAACAUUUGUCAAUUUCUC